UUACUGUGUUAUUCGUUUUUGCAAUACCGUUGCACAGAUUCGGUUUUACUUUUCCGUUAUUUGCACAUUCCUGCAUUACUGUUUUAACUUUUAUGCACGGUGUACUAAACCCUUUGUGGAUCAAUGACAAUUUUAGAACUGUAAACAAAGGGUGGUCAGGAAAAAGUAAACAAUGUUUACCCCACUUUUAAUUAUGUUUGUUUGAAAACGUUUAUUUCCAAAGAAAUACUCAUUUAUUAGUUAAAUUAAACAGAUAUUGACGACUGCAAUCCUAAUCCAUGUCGGAACGGGGCAACAUGUACAGACCGCGUUGACUCCUAUACAUGCACGUGUGUCGCCGGAUAUACAGGAACUAAUUGUGAAACAGAUAUUGACGAGUGCAAUCCUGAUCCAUGUCAGAACGGGGCAGCAUGUACAGACGGCGUUGACUCUUAUACGUGCACGUGUGUCGCCGGAUAUACAGGAACUAAUUGUGAGACAG